rnacentral:misc_RNA from 1 species
AAAUGCGAUAAGUAAUGUGCAUUGCAGAAUUCAGUGAAUCAUCGAAUCUUUGAACGCACAUUGUGCCCGCCAGCACUCUGGCGGGCAUGCCUGUUCGAGCGUCAUUUCAACCCUCAGAACCCCUUGCGGGAUCUGGCGUUGGGGAUUGGCAUCCAGCCAGCCCCGAAAUCUAGUGGCGGUCCCUCCGCGACCUCCCCUGUGCAGUAGCGAUACCUCGCAGCGGGACAGCGGUCUGACCACGCCGUAAAACCCCCAACUUCUCAAGGUUGACCUCGAAUCAGGUAGGAAUACCCGCUGAACUUAAGC